rnacentral:rRNA from 1 species
AACGAACGCUGGCGGCAGGCUUAACACAUGCAAGUCGAGCGCCCCGCAAGGGGAGCGGCAGACGGGUGAGUAACGCGUGGGAACGUACCCUUUGCUACGGAAUAGCUCCGGGAAACUGGAAUUAAUACCGUAUGUGCCCUACGGGGGAAAGAUUUAUCGGCAAAGGACCGGCCCGCGUUGGAUUAGCUAGUUGGUGGGGUAAUGGCCUACCAAGGCGACGAUCCAUAGCUGGUCUGAGAGGAUGAUCAGCCACAUUGGGACUGAGACACGGCCCAAACUCCUACGGGAGGCAGCAGUGGGGAAUAUUGGACAAUGGGCGCAAGCCUGAUCCAGCCAUGCCGCGUGAGUGAUGAAGGCCUUAGGGUUGUAAAGCUCUUUCACCGGAGAAGAUAAUGACGGCAUCCGGAGAAGAAGCCCCGGCUAACUUCGUGCCAGCCGCCGCAGUAACAC